rnacentral:lncRNA from 1 species
CCCAGUCCCCUGCAAUCUUCCUAGGAGGAAGGGCUGGGCCUGAACCAGGAAGUACUGUGUCAGACACUCUCACACACAGAGAAAGAGCCCACAGAAAGGAGCUGGGGACAGGUGCCAACUCUGUGAAUAGCUCCUGCGUGGGCAGAGCCCUGCACCUUGGAGAAGCCCAAGGAAUCAAGUAGGUGAUGGGUCUUAAGCAGAGAAUGGGGAACCGGCUGUCUCCUUCUCCCACCACUGUCAGAAUGAGAGGAAAUGGGCUUCAAUGGUGGCAGGAAGGAUUUAGGUUAGACGUAUGGGAGAACUUCCUGUGACAGUGUCUACACUGUGUAUCCCAGCGGUUAAUCCAGGUUGAACUCUCCCCUGGAGUUGAUAAUUACAUGCUGAUGCUUGCUAAUGAGUAACUUACUUUGCCUGAGGUUGGCAGAGAGCUUCCAGCCCAGAGAAUCGCCUUGCUCCUAGACCAAACUCAGGAAGAAGUCCAGAGAAGUCUGGAGGCACUGAAGACCGGCCCCUUCUCAGCCCCAAAGGAAUUUAGACCACUAAGAAAAGUCCCUGGCGGGAGGCGGCCCUCUGCCCGGAGGCUGUUCCCUCAAGCGGCCAAGGUAAGAAGUGGGGGAUUUCCAAGCUGGGACAGGGCUGACUUCACUACUAGGGGCUCCUCUCCUUUCUCUGGCAUCCUCACUCCAGGACAGAAACUGCAGUUGGGCCCAUGUGCUCGAGGAUUCAGGGCAGUAGAGUCAGCUAGGCCCCUCCAGCUGCUACUUCCCACUCCAGAGGGAACCCCAGGGCUGCACCUGGGACCCACAGGGACCCAGCCCUGGAAGACCCCGACGGGCAUCUCCAGGAGGGGUUGGGGUCUGGAAAUCCAGAGCCAUACUUACUCAUGGGCCUGUGGGGAAUGAGUCAAAUUGAUGAAUGCCCCUGCCUAACCCCAGGUCCUGCCCCACAGCUGCUGGUAGGCCUGGUGGUUAGAGGAAUGGCCACUCUGGAUCUUAGUCCACACACUCCCUUAGUUGGCCAGCACUUCCAUGGCAGCUAGAGAGUCAAAGGAGCCAGCGUGGGCCCAUGGGGAGCAGGGAGCUCCCUGAAACCCUGAUCCACAGGAAAGAGGAGCUAUACCUGCACUGCCCGUAUUCCUGCCCUGCUCUCAACUGGUAUCUGUAACCCCCACCACCAAGUGGAGGGACAGGGAGGAAGUCGUAGUAUUAAACACAUGUCCCAGCUCCAAGUCAGCCUGCUCAGGCCCAGCUAGCAGGGUUAGGAAACAGCUAGAUUCUCCCUCUACCCUCGUGGCAUCUCCUGGGCCUCUGAUACUUGUGAUUGAUGUGUGUAUGCUGUGGCCAUGUGCAUGUGAGCUCCGUGCAUAUGUGUAGGCUUGUGUGACUAGAGUGUGCCUGGUCAAAAAAUAGGCAGGGACUCAUGCAAGUGAAAUAAUAAAUCUAGCCACCAUCAUGGUAGGCUAGUACCUGUGC